UACAGAGGUCUCGAGCGUUAGGCGGAAUCACUGGGCUUAAAGCGUGUGUAGGCGGAUCGGUAAGUACCUUGUGAAAUCCCACAGCUUAACUGUGGAACUGCUUGGUAUACUGCCAGUCUUGAGCCAGCUAGGGGCUACCGGAACAAAUGGUGGAGCGGUGAAAUGCGUAGAUAUCGGGAGGAACACCAGUGGCGAAGGCGCCUUCCUGGCCUGUAACUGACGCUGAUACGCGAAAGCGUGGUGAGCAAACCGG
rnacentral:rRNA from 1 species